rnacentral:rRNA from 1 species
ACGGGGCGCAGCAGGCGCGAAAACUUCACACUGCAGGAAACUGUGAUGAGGGAAUUCCAAGUGGCUAGACAAAGUCUAGUCUUUUUGUAACUUUUAAUCGGUUACAGAAUAAGGGGUGGGAAAGACCGGUGCCAGCAGCCGCGGUAAU